ACUCAAAUGAAUUGACGGGGACCCGCACAACCGGUGGAGCGUGUGGUUUAAUUCGAGACGAAACGAAGAACCUCACCAAGGCUUGACAUGCAAUCGUUUAUUUCCCUGGAAACAGGGAGAAAUCCGUAAGGAUGAUUGCACAGGUGCUGCAUGGCUGUCGUCAGCUCGUGCCGUGAGGUGUUCCCUUAAGUGGGGAAACGAGCGCAACCCUCGUGAAAUGUUAAAUAUUCAUUUCAGACGGUCCCCAAUUUUUUUGGGGAAGGAAGGAGAGGAAGACGUCAAGUCAGCACGGCCCUUAUGCCUUGGGCUACACACACACUACAAUGGCGAAAAACAAUGGGUUGCAAGCGCGCAAGUGCAAGCUAAUCCCUCAAAUUUCGCCCCAGUUCAGAUUGGGGUCUGAAACCCGACCCCAUGAAGUCGGAAUCGGUAGUAAUCGCGGAUCAGCAUGCCGCGGUGAAUGCGUUCUCGGGUCUUGCACACACCGCCCGU
rnacentral:rRNA from 1 species